AAAGAACUUCAGUUGGCAAGACUGGACGUUCUUCUGUUUGUUUACACUCUGUCGUGUCGUUAGAUUAGUGAUCGUUAGUGAUUGUGUUAAGUGACGAUAUGUGUGAAAGAAACAGAUAAUUGGAGAUUUGUCCGAUUCUGAAGGAGGUUAGAUUGUUGGUGUGCGUUUAGCUGGAGCAUCUGUGACAAAAACUGCCAUAUUGGGUGCAUCGAGAGCGACAGUUUCUAAGGUUAUGUCGGCAUGCACGAAUCGUGGGAGGACAAUAACAGCGAAGAGGAACAGUGGCGAAAAUCAACUUUGACAGAGAUCGUCGUACAUGGAGAAGGAAUGUGUCGAAAAUUCACAGAAUUAAUGCAGCGCAGGUUACAGGAGAACUGUAUAUUCGUCUUGAAGACCCUGUUUCCACAUAAACUGUCUGGCGUGAGCUUCACAAAUCCAGCACCCACGGAUAAUUGGGAAGAAUAGGAAAAUGUUUUGCUCCUGGGUGCGUGUCAUGCAGUGAGCACACUGGAAUGAAAUUCUUCUGUUUUCCCAGGGAUUCAGCACGGGCUAUGAUAUGGGCAGGAGGAGUUGGAUUAUCCUGUACUACUGAUUCUGCUGGAAUGCUGUACUGCUGAUGACUGAAGCAGCCAGGCAGAGGGCCACAGAGAGGAAGAUGAAGAUACUGACUCAUCAGUAAGUCAUUGGGAAAGUAAUGCUUCUUCAUUUUUCCCUUAUAAUGUCCUGCCCAUACCAACCCUGGAAAUAGACAGCAGUUAUGGAAUUACUGUUAGAAUAUGUGUGCCAACUAGUCAUAUGAGCAUCAUUAGAUGUUUCAUAAGUUGGAGAAAGUAACCCUGGUGACAAGCAGUUGCAGUGCAGCAACAGGAACUACUGUGCAGCGAAUGAUAACAUCGUCAUCCACAGUUCAAUUGCACACAGGAAACUUAUUUUGAACUUGAGCUCCCUCUCCUCCCCUCUUUGCAAACAUGUUUCCUUCAUCUCAGAAUAUUAGAACUUCACUGGGUCAGAGUUCAUUCUGACCUUUAUCUUCAAGAAAUUGUAUUUCAGUCGCGUGUGUGGGAAAUUGUUUUCUGACACACAUGGGUCUUGUUUAUGUGUAGGUAAGAAUGAAGAGGCAUUACUUUAUAAUUGACUUGCAAAGUUCAGGUUAUCCACUUCAGUGUGAAACUCUGAGAAACAAAAUCAGUAUCAGGGUUGAAUGUGGGUAGGACUAUUUAUGUAAUUUCUUUACCUAUUUCAUUUUCAUUACAUUGUUAUUCACUUUUGUUGUUAUAAGUAAUACCUUCUCUUGCUUUUGUGUUAUUCACUUUUGUUGUUAUAAGUAAUACCUUCUCUUGCUUUUGCUGUAUAAUGCUACCUGUACUGGACUGGUGAACAUGAACAUAAGAUUUUCAAUAUUAAUUGCAUUUCUUUAAGAUAUGUUAUUAUUUUUGCCAUAUUAUUCUG